rfam:Clostridium acetireducens DSM 10703 CLAC_contig000007, whole genome shotgun sequence.
AUUUAAAUGAAUAGUAUUCCGUAGACAGUAGGUGCCUAAAGCUUAACGUAAAUCAACCUACCGAGGAUCAAAUAUAAAGAUGAAUUUAUUUGGUCUCUCCAUGUCUACGGAGAGGCUUAUUUUUUAUAAAC